UAUUAUUAUUCAGGUUCGUAGUUCAAUUGUUCGUUUACGUUUUAUUUGGGAAAACGAGGAAAAACAAGAUGACUCUACGGUUAUUAUCAAGACACAGCAUAUGGUUAUUCCUGGGAUCAUAAUCUCAAUCACUGGUAGAGAAGAGGCUGUUAUGAUAGCAAACGCCACUUUCUUUAAUAACAAGAAGAGUCAACUUAACUUUUGGGUGAGCUUUCCAAAUUCUACCGGAUAUGAACAAGAACGUUAUGUUCCCUUUAGUGAAGUGGUUCUUGAGGAUGAGUUCUUCUGCACAUUUACUCUUAAGCCAAUUGAAGGCGGGCAACUGCAAGCAUGGACCGUGAAGUCACUUCUAUCUGGUAUCCUCCGUAGAAAGACUAGAACUCUUGUCUCCAACGGAGAGCAUUGCUGA
rnacentral:lncRNA from 1 species